GGGAGCAAAAAACUGAUCUCUACCUCCCCGAGGUGCUCCCUGGGCAACUGUUCAACAAAUUGAGCAGGCUAACAGAGACAG
rnacentral:ribozyme from 1 species